CCUACGGGUGGCAGCAGUGGGGAAUAUUGGGCAAUGGGCGCAAGCCUGACCCAGCAACGCCGCGUGAAGGAAGAAGGCUUUCGGGUUGUAAACUUCUUUUCUCAGGGACGAAGCAAGUGACGGUACCUGAGGAAUAAGCCACGGCUAACUACGUGCCAGCAGCCGCGGUAAUACGUAGGUGGCAAGCGUUAUCCGGAUUUACUGGGUGUAAAGGGCGUGUAGGCGGGAAAUCAAGUCAGAUGUGAAAACCAUGGGCUCAACCUGUGGCCUGCAUUUGAAACUGUUUUUCUUGAGUACUGGGGAGGCAGACGGAAUUCCUAGUGUAGCGGUGAAAUGCGUAGAUAUUAGGAGGAAAACCAGUGGCGAAGGCGGUCUGCUGGACAGCAACUGACGCUGAGGCGCGAAAGCGUGGGGAGCAAACAGGAUUAGAUACCCCAGUAGUC
rnacentral:rRNA from 1 species